rnacentral:rRNA from 1 species
AGUGAACGCUGGCGGUAGGCCUAACACAUGCAAGUCGAACGGCAGCACAGGAGAGCUUGCUCUCUGGGUGGCGAGGGCGGACGGGUGAGGAAUACAUCGGAAUCUACUCUGUCGUGGGGGAUAACGUAGGGAAACUUACGCUAAUACCGCAUACGACCUACGGGUGAAAGCAGGGGAUCUUCGGACCUUGCGCGAUUGAAUGAGCCGAUGUCGGAUUAGCUAGUUGGCGGGGUAAAGGCCCACCAAGGCGACGAUCCGUAGCUGGUCUGAGAGGAUGAUCAGCCACACUGGAACUGAGAAACGGUCCAGACUCCUACGGGAGGCAGCAGUGGGGAAUAUUGGACAAUGGGCGCAAGCCUGAUCCAGCCAUACCGCGUGGGUGAAGAAGGCCUUCGGGUUGUAAAGCCCUUUUGUUGGGAAAGAAAUCCAGCUGGCUAAUACCCGGUUGGGAUGACGGUACCCAAAGAAUAAGCACCGGCUAACUUCGUGCCAGCCGCCGCCGUAA